CUCGACUCCGGCUUCGGGCGGUCUUCCCUGUGCUCGGCGUUUGGUCUGGAAAGAUUCUCCCUGCGCCUGGUCUGGCCUGUGGGGCUGGGUGUCGCCACAAAUGCUUUUGACCAAGUUGACUGCACUGGGAUUGGUCUCUUCGAUCAGCUGGAGUGCAAAGAAAUUACUGAAGUCUACAUCUUGCAAAUUUGAGUAGCACUCCAAGGCUUCAGCAAAGUGGACACUGGUCUCUUGCCACCCAAGCUCUACAGCAAGAGGGAAAGGUAGGCAUGGGGUGGGACUAGAUGAGCCCUGGGGCUCUUUUGGUGAUAGUGGCAGUGAGGUCCCUUCCCAAGUUCUCUCUAAUAUUCCCACAA
rnacentral:lncRNA from 1 species